AAUACAACUAGCAACUUUCUCUUCUCAAAAACAAUGGAGUUUCUCAUUUUCCUUUACAAGUGUGGCUUUUAAAGAGCUCAACAUAUUCGUUGCUGUAAACCAUGGAAUAUAUCUCUGAUCCAGAAUGAACCUAGAGCUCAACAUAUUCGUUGCCGUUGGCAUCUCCUGUGCCAGCACACCGGAGAUCGCCCCGUGUAAGAUGAGGCGGGUUGCUAGUUGUUGUAUGCUUAUCAUAUGAUAUUACCUUAAUAUUCAUCUGUAAAUUUCCCACUUAGGAUCACAUUUUCGUGUUUGUAUUGUUGGUGGAUUGUGGCUUAUGAGUGAAAUCUAAUAUCUGUAUUAUUUUUUUGGGAGGGAAAUUCAAUAUGAAUUGAAUC